rnacentral:rRNA from 1 species
GACGAACGCUGGCGGCGUGCCUAAUACAUGCAAGUCGAGCGGAAGUUGGAGAGCUUGCUCUUCAACUUUAGCGGCGGACGGGUGAGUAACACGUGGGCAACCUGCCCUGCAGAUCGGGAUAACUCCGGGAAACCGGUGCUAAUACCGAAUAGUUUUCGCCACCUCCUGGUGGCGUACGGAAAGACGGUUUCGGCUGUCACUGCAGGAUGGGCCCGCGGCGCAUUAGCUAGUUGGGGGGGUAACGGCCCACCAAGGUAACGAUGCGUAGCCGACCUGAGAGGGUGAUCGGCCACACUGGGACUGAGACACGGCCCAGACUCCUACGGGAGGCAGCAGUAGGGAAUCUUCCGCAAUGGACGAAAGUCUGACGGAGCAACGCCGCGUGAGUGACGAAGGUUUUCGGAUCGUAAAACUCUGUUGUGAGGGAAGAACAAGUACUAACUAACUACUGGUACCUUGACGGUACCUCACCAGAAAGCCACGGCUAACUACGUGCCAGCCGCCGCGGUAACAC